rnacentral:rRNA from 1 species
AUCCUGGCUCAGGAUGAACGCUAGCUACAGGCUUAACACAUGCAAGUCGAGGGGCAGCAUGUCGGUUGCUUGCAACCGAUGAUGGCGACCGGCGCACGGGUGAGUAACGCGUAUCCAACCUGCCCAUGACUUGGGGAUAACCUUGCGAAAGCAAGCCUAAUACCCGAUACGCUUCAUAGACGGCAUCUGAAAUGAAGUAAAGGUUUACGGUUAUGGAUGGGGAUGCGUCCGAUUAGCUUGUUGGCGGGGUAACGGCCCACCAAGGCAUCGAUCGGUAGGGGUUCUGAGAGGAAGGUCCCCCACACUGGUACUGAGACACGGACCAGACUCCUACGGGAGGCAGCAGUGAGGAAUAUUGGUCAAUGGGCGAGAGCCUGAACCAGCCAAGUAGCGUGCAGGAUGACGGCCCUAUGGGUUGUAAACUGCUUUUAUAAGGGAAUAAAGUGAGCCUCGUGAGGCUUUUUGCAUGUACCUUAUGAAUAAGGACCGGCUAAUUCCGUG